UGUCUUGGGGGAUGGGAAUCGAACCCACAAUGUUCCGCUUACCGGGCAGAUGCCAUGUCCACUAGGCUACCCUGGAC
rnacentral:tRNA from 1 species